GCACUGGCAAAAUCCAGUGUCGGGGUUGGUCUCCCGAAAUUCGAAAGGGCGAACAUCGCCAGCUUUCUGCUGGUUUUUU
rnacentral:sRNA from 1 species